rnacentral:rRNA from 1 species
UAGGGAAUCUUCCACAAUGGGCGCAAGCCUGAUGGAGCAACACCGCGUGAGUGAGGAAGGGUUUCGGCUCGUAAAGCUCUGUUGUUGGAGAAGAACGUGCGUGAGAGUAACUGUUCACGCAGUGACGGUAUCCAACCAGAAAGUCACGGCUAACCACGUGCCAG